AUGGAAGGUUUCAUGCCUGGGAGGUCGACCAUGGAAGCCAUUUUCUUGGUACGACAGCUUAUGGAGAGAUAUAGGGAGCAAAAGAAGGACUUGCAUAUGGUGUUCAUUGACUUAGAGAAGGCCUAUGAUAAGAUACCGCGGAAUGUCAUGUGGUGGGCCUUGGAGAAACACAAAGUCCCAGCAAAGUACAUUACCCUCAUCAAGGACAUGUACGAUAAUGUUGUGACAAGUGUUCGAACAAGUGAUGUCGACACUGAUGACUUCCCGAUUAAGAUAGGACUGCAUCAGGGGUCAGCUUUGAGCCCUUAUCUUUUUGCAUUGGUGAUGGAUGAGGUCACAAGGGAUAUACAAGGAGAUAUCCCAUGGUGUAUGCUCUUUGCGGAUGAUGUGGUGCUAGUUGACGAUAGUCGGGCGGGGGUAAAUAGGAAGUUAGAGUUAUGA
rnacentral:rRNA from 1 species